UACGAGGGGGGCAAAUGUUGUUCGGAAUCCCUGGGCGUAAAGGGAGCGUAGGCGGGUUUCUAAGUCAGGUGUUUAAUCCCGGGGCCCAACCCCGGACAGGCACUUGAAACUGGGAAUCUUGAAUAGUGGAGAGGUCAGUGGAAUUGGGGGUGUAGCGGUGGAAUGCGUAGAGAUCCCCAAGAACACCAGUUGCGAAGGCGGCUGACUGGACACAUAUUGACGCUGAGGCUCGAAAGCAUGGGGAGCAAACAGG
rnacentral:rRNA from 1 species